rnacentral:rRNA from 1 species
AUUGAACGCUGGCGGCAUGCUUUACACAUGCAAGUCGAACGGUAGCAGGCCUUCGGGCGCUGACGAGUGGCGAACGGGUGAGUAAUGCAUCGGAACGUGCCCAGUCGUGGGGGAUAACUAUCCGAAAGGAUAGCUAAUACCGCAUACGAUCUGCGGAUGAAAGCGGGGACCUUCGGGCCUCGCGCGAUUGGAGCGGCCGAUGUCAGAUUAGGUAGUUGGUGGGGUAAAGGCUCACCAAGCCAACGAUCUGUAGCUGGUCUGAGAGGACGACCAGCCACACUGGGACUGAGACACGGCCCAGACUCCUACGGGAGGCAGCAGUGGGGAAUUUUGGACAAUGGGCGCAAGCCUGAUCCAGCAAUGCCGCGUGCAGGAAGAAGGCCUUCGGGUUGUAAACUGCUUUUGUACGGAACGAAACGGCUCUGGUUAAUACCCGGGGCUAAUGACGGUACCGUAAGAAUAAACACCGGCUAACUACGUGCCAGCCGCCGCCGUAAGAC